CAAAAUUAUUAUCUUCAAACCACACACGUCUGGGAGAUCCUUGAACUACAUUGCAGGUGAAUUCUUUCUAAUAAGAGUUCAGAAAAUGUGAGAAUUCAAACCAAUAGUUCAAUCCAUCCUCAUAAUAUCCCAUUUAAUGCCCCCUGAUAGUAAUCAUAUUGUCGUAUUUGCCAUGCGUCCAGGAUGCAUCUAAUCAUAGAAAGCACCAAGGACACAUUGCUGUAGACACCAACAAAUCCAUGAAGGACGAGCAUAAAAAAUGAUAAACUAGUAAAGCAACAUAAGAAAAUAUUAAAACUUAGUUAUAAAUUAGUGUAACUUACUGCAACCAUAUGUAACAUUGAGUAAGUCAAUUGUUUUUUUAAUAAGUUAUGAAUCAGUUAGUGGAAUUGGUCUCUUGUUUGUUGAAUAAGUUUAAAACACAUUGGCUUUUUCAGUUUGAUUAGUUCAGAAACUUUAGGAGAAUUUCUCACUAUAAAUUGCACUUGUAACCUGUUGAUUCAUUACUGUAGCUCUUCAGUUUUUAUUUUUCUAGUUCUAGAUCUCAUCAAGAAAUAAAACACAGAUUGAAGAAUAGAAUCUGUUCUUUCCAAUUUCUCUGCUAUUUUUCCUGCUUCUUUAGUUUUUUAUUCUACCAUAAUUUGUUACAUGGUAUUAGAGCUUGGUUGCCUAUCAAGUGUUUGAUUUUAUUACUCAGAGAAGAUGAACGGUGGAAGCAGUGUCUUUGUAGACAAACUUGUUGGUAACAAUUAUAGUUAUUGGAAGCUAUGCAUGGAAGCUUAUCUACAAGGGUAGGAUUUGUAGGAACUUAUUUCUGGUGAUGAUGUAGUUCCAGAAAAUAUGACACAAAAUGUUGAGUUGAGGAGGAAAUGGAAGAUAAAGUGUGGCAAAGCUUUAUUUGCUUUGUGAACAUCAAUUAGGAGAGAGUAUAUCGAGCAUGUUCGUGAUGAGGAGUCACUAAAGAAAGUGUGGGAGAUGCUUGAAAGGCUGAGGCUGCAGUAUUUAGAGAAUGAACUUGCUGGGAUGACUCAGGUAACCUUUCAGUUUCAGAAUAUUUUUUGAAACUUAAGACUUUGUGUUCUGAUAUAUCGAAAUUAGAUACGAAAGAACCUGUGAGUGAUGCUUGUUUGCACCAUUAUCUCAUUGUGGAUUACGAAAAGAAUUUAUGCUCUUUAUUUCUUUGAUACAAGGGUGGGCAAAUAAACCUACUGUCAUUGAGUUGGGGAACCUGCUCUCAAAUCAAGAAGCACUACUAAAACAAAUGUCCAACAAUAGCAACAAGUCUUUCUUUCAAGUUGAGGAUGUUCUUUAACCAAAGACCACGGAAAAAAGAACUUUUCCUCUAAACAAUAUUCUGGUGAUGGCAAGCAGUCCAAAACUGAGGGGACAAUCCAAGGAAAAAUAAAAAACUUGUUAUAGGUGUGGAAAGCUGGGACACAAAAAGCGUGAUUGUCAGGUGAAUGUGGUGUGCAGUCAAUGUGGAAAAGCAAGCCAUAUUAAACAAAAUUUUCAUGUUGAUCUCACAAAAGCAGUAGUGUGUUUUGUACAUGAAGCUAGUAAAUUUGAAUAGCAUAAAUGGCAGCAAUGCUUAUCCAUUGAAGCUAUUGAUCAAUCGGCUAACAUGACUUCUGAAGUGCACCAGACUGAUAGAGAUAUUGAUGCUAAUGUUUCCAUAGACUACAACAUGAAUUGGAUAAUUGAUUCUGGCUGCUCUCAUCAUGCAACUGGAAAUGUUUUGUUACUUUCUAAUGUUCGUCCGCAUUGUGAAAAAGAGUGAUUGUAAUCGUCGAUAAUUCACCACAUCCUGUAGUUAAAGAAGGGCAUCUCAAUUUCAGAACUGAUAUUUCAAAUGCUAAUGGUAUUUCUCUAAAAAAAAUUUAUAUCAUGUUCCAGGUUUAAAGAAGAACCUCAGUCUCUUAAUUAGUUGAUUCUGGGAGGUAUGUUCUUUUGUUCCCAAUAAUGUACAGAUUCUUUCAAAUGUAAACACAUAUUGUUGCUGAUAUUUUACUUACUGGAAAAAGGGAAAAAAUCACUAUAUGUUUUGUCUGCAAGUGAUGCAUAUGUUGAAAAGAGAGGCCAAAGUGCAAGUGUGGCACUUUGGCAUGCUCGAUUAGGCCAUGUUGAUUAUCAAUUGUUGUAGAAAAUCUCUACAAAGAAACUUCUAGAUGGAGUUCCUCUAUUUAAAGAUUUUCAUCCUGAUAUGGUGUGUGCUGGUUGCCAAUAUGGAAAAUCAUAUCAACUUCCUUUCCUAAAUUCAAAGAAUAGAGCCUCUACUGCACUACAGUUGGUUCAUUCAAAUCUUAUGGGACCAACAAAAAUACCUAGUUUUGCUCAUUUCGUUAUGUGAUGGUUAUUGUGGAUAACUUUUCUCAUUUCACUUGGGUAUAUUUCUUGGAAAACAAAAGUGAAGCUCUCUCCAAAUUUAUUCAAUUCAAAGAGCAUGUAGAGAAGGAAUUUAGGCUGUCAAUAAAGUGUUUACACACCGAUAAUGGAUGGGAAUACAUGUCCAAUGAAUUUCUUGAAUAUUGCAUGGGAACAUGGAAUUCGACGUUGUCCAGAAACUUCACAACAAGAUAGGGUUGCUGAGCGCAAGUUGGCACAUCUAACGGCUAUAUGCUUGUCAUGGAUGCAUAAAAAGAACCUUGCAAGAGAGUUGUGGGCAACAACUAUCCAAUUUGCCUGUCAUGUCAUAAAUUGCUUACCUCCUUGGCCAAGAACAGAAUCAUCUCCUUUGAAGCAUUAUACCACUACAAACCGAAUGUAAGUUAUUUUCGAGCUUUUGGUUCAGUUUGUUAUGUCCACAUACUGAAAAAUAAUUGGACUAAACUUGAUCCAAGGGCAAGUGUUGUAUUUUUGUUGGUUAUGAUACUCAUAGGAAAGGAUGGAGAUGUAUGGAUCCAAAAACAAAGAAUGUUAUUGUUUUCAUGAUGUAGUGUUUGAUGAAGUGACAUCGCAUCAAGUUGAUAACAAGGACAGUAGCACAGUUGAUCUUGGGCCUUUCUUUAAUGAUCUGCAACAAGUGAAAAUGGAAGCAAUACAAUUCCAUCUGUAUAAAAUAUUCAGCAAUACGAGGCUAUUGAGACUAUAAUUCGAAGACAAAAAAAGCAACCUGAUCAUCUAGCCGAUUAUGAAGUUCAGUUAAAUUAUUUUUCUGUUUUAUCUUUUUUUUUUCAUGGGAGAUUCAGGUGGAAAUGAGCCUAAAUCCUACAAUGAAGCUAAAGGGAUUUCUGAAUUGGAAGAGGCAAUGCAGGAGGAAAUAUCAGCUUUACAAAAGAGUAACACCUGGGAGUUUGUUCCAAAGCCGAAGAACACUGAUUUGGUUACUUGUAAAUGAAUUUACAAGUUGAAGAAAAAGGCCAAUGGGACUAUUGACAUGUAUAAAGCCCAACUUGUUGCUCAUGGUUUUUCCCAGCAAUAUGGUUCACACUACGAGGAAACUUUUAGCCCGAAUGCUAAAAUGGUGACUGUUCAAAGAAUUAUUUCAUUGGAUGCUUUCAAAGGCUGGAAAUUAUGGCAACUAGACGUGAAGAAUGCAUUCCUCUAUGGAGAGUUAGAUCGUGAUAUCUUUAUGGAGUACCACAAGGAAUUAUUUCUAAGGAAUUUCCUAAUCAUGUAUGCCUGCUCAAGAAAGCUUUGUAUGGCCUCAAGCAAGCUCCACGUGCUUGGUUUGGUAACAUUGCUCAAUAUCUUGAUUUUUGUGGGUUUAAGUCUUCUAAUGCAAACCCUAGCUUAUUUAUUAGAAAACAUAUGCAAUGUGCAUCAUGCUUCUUCUUUAUGUGGAUGAUAUGAUCAUUACUGGAGAUAACAGUGUUGAAAUAACCCGUCUUCAAGAUGCCUUGUCUACUCAUUUUGAAAUAAGAGUUUAGGUAAAGCUAUCUGUUUUCUUGGCUUUAAGGUUAAAAAGUUAGAUGGAUAUUUCGUCUCUCAAAAG
rnacentral:lncRNA from 1 species